CCUCAGCAUCUUUUUCGGCCUUAGGCGUUCUUCGAGUCGUCCCCAUCUCUGCAUCUCUGCAUCCUUCGGACCAACCUAGGUUAGUUCCAGAACUUCCCUCUUCAUUUUUUCUCUUGCUAUUCUUCUUUCAUUUUUCUUCUGUUACAGUCCGCCUAUUCAAUUUUCUGCGAGCGCCCUAUCUCUUAUUUUUUACAAUUUUUUCUGGGAUUUUUAAGGUUUUUGCUCGAUUCAUAAUGUCCUCCAGCACUUCCUCCUC
rnacentral:lncRNA from 1 species